UGAACGGACUAACCAAGCCGGUGUUGAUCUCAUUGAAUACUUCAAGCCUCAUUUCUGCACACCUUACUCCCGUAAUUCUGGAAAUUAUCUUUAAAUAUAUAAAUUCCAUGUCUUCAAUUGGUACCAAUUGCUUGCUUGUUGUCCUAAACGUUUUAUCGUUCCUUGUGGCCAUUGAAGUAUCAUCAUUAUUGUUGUCGUGCCCAGCGUGGUCGACUUUGCCUUUAAUCCUUUCGGGGUCGAUAAAUUAACCAAAGGAUUACAUUUACGGGAUUACUAUAUGAAUGGACCACAACAGAACAGAAAAGAAAGAAAGAAAGAAAAACAGUAAGGCAAUGAUUGAAUAAAUGAAAGAAAGAAAGGAAAUACAGAACAGAAGAAAGAAUAAUAA